UGGGCUGUUCGCCCAUUAAAGCGGUACGCGAGCUGGGUUCAGAACGUCGUGAGACAGUUCGGUCCCUAUCUGUCGUGGGCGUAGGAAAUUUGAGAGGAGCUGUCCUUAGUACGAGAGGACCGGGAUGGACGUACCGCUGGUGCACCAGUUGUUCCGCCAGGAGCAUGGCUGGGUAGCUACGUACGGACGGGAUAAGCGCUGAAAGCAUCUAAGCGUGAAGCCCCCCUCAAGAUGAGAUUUCCCAGUUUGUAAGACCCCUUGAAGACGACGAGGUAGAUAGGUUGGAGGUGGAAGUGCAGCAAUGCAUGGAGCUGACCAAUACUAAUCGGUCGAGGGCUUAUCCAA
rnacentral:rRNA from 1 species